rnacentral:piRNA from 1 species
UCUUCCUGGCUUGUCAUUGAGGUGGAC